GGAGUGGUGGCCGAGUGGUCGAAGGCACACCCCUGCUAAGGGUGCAGACGGCAACGUCUCGAGGGUUCGAAUCCCUUCCACUCCGCCA
rnacentral:tRNA from 10 species